GUUUAAAUAGUUUAAUAAAAACAUUGGUCUUGUAAACCAAAAAUAAGAGCAAUUCUUUUUAAAUA
rnacentral:tRNA from 1 species